UGAAGGAAGCCAACAACAUUUAAGUGUAAGUUCAAAUAAUUUAGGAAGUUGUUGAGACUGUAGGGAUGUGAAAAUAGAUUUAAAUAAAGUAAGUUCAAUGAUUAUUUAUGUUAUUUUUGUGUGUACCUAUAUUCUAAUGUAUACGAUUUUGAGAAAGUGGCACCUAAUGUAGAUAUUCAAGACUUCAUCUAGAUUCCAAUCAAUUUAGUUGUUUUGUUCAAUAAUUCAUGAAGUUGUCAGUAAAAACGCAGAGAUUUUAUAAAAUGAUUUUAAAAAGGUCAUCU
rnacentral:sRNA from 1 species